CCCCUGCUUUUUUAAACUGAUUCCAAAUCAAGCUCGGUGUAUUCUUCAGAGAUUGACUCAAUUCGCCUAAGAACCUUGUUGAGUCCUUCCUAGCACCGUGUUGAGCAAAUUACAUGGCACUUUCGUCAUGCCAGCUACACCCAGGAAAUGCAGGUUAUGAAAGUUUAGAAUUAGGAAAUGACACAAGUUGUGCAGUUCAACGUGAGCUUAUCUUUUGAAAGUUUCUAUUUCACAGCUCCUGAGGGGCUGCACUCUACAUGACCUGUAAUACCGAGGUUUUAGGAGACCGGCUCUAAGAGGAAGAAUUGACCAAGUUACCUGUUGCAGCUCCAGGCGACAGCGUCUGAGAGUCCAGUUUGGGGAGAGAAGUGUGACAGGGGCGUUGCUCCAUCAGCCGCCUUGUGAAGCCCUGAUUAACUAGCAGCUCAGAAAGAGCUGGGGACUGACCGUCAGGCUGACCUUGACUGGAGCGCCUCCCCACGAUUCACUGGCUGAGUGAUUUAGGCAAGUAUUUACCCCUCUGACCCCUUAUAAAGCUGGAGAUAGUACCUACCUUUCUGGGUUGUUGGGAGAAUUAUGGAGCCAAUGGAUGUUCCAUCAAAUAUCAACAUCACUUCUGGCAAAUGCUCAGGAGAUAGCACUGUUCUAUGUCGGUGGUUCUCAACCCAGGGUGAUUUUGCCCUCCAGAGCACAUUUGGCAACAUCUGGGGACAUUUUCGAUUGUCACCGGUGGGAGGAGGAUGCAUCAGCAUUGACUGGGUAGAGGCCCAGGCUGCUACCCAACUGUCAUAGAGACAAAGUGGAAAAACUCUGGUCUAUGUUAUGGUAACGCCCAUAAUCCUCAUAGGAACCCCAUGAAGUGGUACUAUUAUUAUUCCUCUAUUUUAGAUAGGGGAAUAUUGGAGAGAUUUAAUGCCUUGGAAGUGAAAUGACUUGCCCAAGCACAGGUAGCUAGUAAGAGCUGGGAUUUGAACCGAGCCAGUCCAGCUCCAGGGUUCUUACAUUUAACCACUUAUCUUAGGUUGCCUUCUGCUGCAGUGGGUCAAAAGCAGUGAAGGUAGGAGAUCUAGAAGCUUCCCUUUCCCCUAUGCUAGUGAUUCUUAAACUCCAGCAAGCAUCAGAAUGACUUGUUGGGCAAAUUAGAAUGCAGUUCCCUGGACCCUAUGCCCAGGCCACCCUGACGUAGAUGUUUUUUGAGGCACAAGGCUCUACACCAGCCCUUGUGAAAGCUUUCACUUAGAGUACCAGCAUGAUAUCAGCCGUAAAAUCUUGUUUUCUGAAUCUCAGUUUUUCACGAAAUACUGUGUGAAGUGCUUAACAUAAUUUUAGGAUGUUGUCCAAGGGAAAAAUUUUAAUGCAAAAGCUUUUGAACCCGAAUCCACUGAUUCACUCACAGGUAUUUACUGAGCACUGCUCUGUGCCAGGCACUGUUCUGUGGACACAAAGAUAAAUAUGACCCUAUCAGGUCCCUUUCUUAUUCAGUGGUCCUCAGCUCUUUAUAUCAUCACAAGCUGGCCUCCUGUCCAAUCCCCACAUUUCCCUACACAGCCUCUCAGCUCUGUUCAUUGCCCACUGUCCCCACUUUCUCAUUGCUGCCUCUGUAGCUUUGUCGUGCUCUACUGUACUCGAGGCCUCCUCUCUCUCUAAUCCACAUAUCUAACUCCUAUUCAUCCUUCAAAACCCAGAUCAAAUCUCAUUUCCUUAGUGAAGGCUUCCCUAACCAUCCUACUUCAGGACAAUUUCUUCUCUCCCAUAGUCUCACAGUAUUUUAAGUCACCAUUAUUUUUGGAACUGCUACUUCGUAUACACAUAUGGAUUCAUUUUUAUGCAUGCCUGGUAGGGGAAAAAAGGUUGCAAUCUGGAACAGUUUAUUGUAAAGGAUUUAGUCACUCUGGGCGGCAUGGUAGAUGUAGAUGCAGAAUAGGCAUCGGUUUGCCAAAUGUAGUUUAAAAUUCCUGCGGGUGGAUCUUAGAGCCCAGAUCUGCCGGCUGUGUGCCUGGCUUACCCACUUGGACCAAGUGCUGCUGCUCAGAAUGGCCAAAACCCACAGAGGCCCCAGUUAGUAUCUGUGUCUGGCACUAAUUCCAAGAAUUUCUGGAUUUGUCCUUCAGUGAUUCUUCCCAGAGUUGUCAGCUAAAGAGAAAGAGGAAGACUUUAGCAAUAGCUAAUGUUUAUUGAGUGCUUACUAUGUGCUGGUCAUUGUGUUCAAUGCUUUAUUUGCAUCGUCUUGUUCAACCCUCACAGUAACCAUGUAAGGUAGGAGCUAUCUCCUCCAUGUUACAUGUGAAGAAACAGAGGCUAAGAGAGAUUUAGUAACUUGCCCAAGUUCACACAGCUGGUAGCAGCUGUAGUCAGUGGAAUUCAGGCCUUUCUGUUUUUAUUCUGAACUUUUAACCCUUCUAUGCAAUCCAGUGUUGGGUGUAAAAACUAUUAAGGCCACCCAAGGCUUCCCAAUUUUUAGAUGAAUGCUGGGACUCAUAACCUUUGUCGUCUAAAAAGCUUUGUAUUGAAAUAAGGAUUAUUUAAGAACCAAUGCAGUUCCAACUGAAAAGAUGUUUUGUCAUAUUCAGUAAAAGAAGAUUUAAAAUAACUGCUGCUUGGUCAUACUCCCAUUCUAUCCUGAAAGCCCAGCUCUGGACAACUGGGAAGAUAGGGUGUAAAAGGGCACAUGCAUUACAAUGUUUUCUAGGAAAACUGGUGGGUGAAAGACUUCCUGAGAAAUUUCACACUGGAAAGGAAUACUCUGCUCUGCUAUAUUUAAAGGCAGAUAAUGAAAUCUUUUCUUCUGGGCACAUGUUCCUUGCCCUGUGUUUAUAGUUGUCACUAGUUCAGGUGGCCUGAAAUGCCUGAUGUUGGAAAUACUGGCCAUUUCAGAUUCCCCAUUGGUCAGGAAGGGUGAGGAACGUCUCCUAAUUUUAUAAAAAGCAGAGUCACAGAACUUAGAAAGAUGCAGUUUGUACCCAUUACCAGAGGGACAGAUUUUAUGGUUUUUAGUGUCAAUUUGAAUAAGCAAAUUUGAUGGGGAUAGCGGUUGCAUAAUUUAAAAAAACUGUUUUUGUUUUGUUUUAUAAAAAUCCAGAUUUUGAGAGGCAUGCGUAGCUGAGAUGAAGUGAGCUAACAUUUUGGUCCAGAAAGAAAUGCAGAAAAGAAGUUCUUGGUGAUUCUGAAUAUUAAGUCUUUGCUUUGGAGUCAGUUGUAAUUUUUAUGUCAGUUCUUAUUAAAGUAACAGCAGACACAUACAUAAUGAAACUUUAUUAAAUGUGAAUGAGUCCCUGAGAGAAUCACUAGCGAUAGGAAGAACAAAAAAUGCUUCCCUGGGCUUCCCUGGUGGCUCAGUGGUUG